rnacentral:snRNA from 1 species
CCGAUACAGAGAAGAUUAGCAUGGCCCCGCAAGGAUGACACGCACAAAUCAAGAAAUGGUCCAAAUUUUG